rnacentral:lncRNA from 1 species
AAAAAAUAAAUAAUAAGUAAUAUAAAAUCUAAUCUUUAAAGAUAUUCUAAGAUUCUAAGAUACUUUACUAUAAUAUCAAGAUACUAAAGAAAUUUUUGGAUAUUUUAACGGUUUGAUCUUCAUGUUAUGUAAUCUUCUCUACAAGUCUUAUUUUGAUGACAAGUUUAUUGAGGUGUGAAUUAUGUUGGUAUUGAAAAGUUCAGUUGUAGGGUUUCCUUAUGCCUCCAAUACAUUUAAGUUUUUGACUUGUAUAAUCUGACAGUGUGAAAGUUACAAAAUUCUGGAUAAAUUGGGAGGGAACAGCUUUGUGGAGCUCUCUUCCUAACUACGAUCUUCUGAUCAGGGACUUGGUUUGGUUUGGAGAAUUAUGCUACUCUUUAUUUAUCCAUAGCUUUUUCUACAACUAUUUGUCAUAUCGUGAUUUUAUUAUUCUUUGAUCGUGUUCAAGAUGGUGUUGAUUGUGCAGCCAGAACCUUUGUACUACUCUAGCAUAGAUUACAAGAUUUUGGAAUGACUCUUUGGCCUUCCCAAGAUGAGGAAUUUUGGAAAACUGGAUAUAAAUUUGAUUCUGAUGAUUUGUUUGUUGGUGAUAGCUUAACUUUGUUGGGGGAGGUUUUCUAAAUCUUCAUUACUGUUUUGUCGUUUUUAUUGUGAUUUAUGAUGAUGAUACUCCUAAAAAGAUUCCCUAUUCAUUAUAGUGGCCAAAGGACUCUUCUGUAUUUGGAGAAGCCAAAAUCAUGUCAUUUCAUAUGGGUACAUGAUCUUGCAAAUUGGAUGGAAAUUUGGUCAACUCUUAUAAGACUCUUCUUUACAUUUCAGUGUUAUUUUUUAUACUCAACACAUAAAAGGUCGGUUCCUUUGAGUUUUCUUUGUUGUUGUUAUAGGGGAGAGAGCCUAUAAAUGUGUGGUUCACGGUGGAACCCAUGGCAGGCAGAGGUUGACAUACUUACUCUUCAGCUUGGGAUUUUGGAUAGUGUUAGUUUUUGUGUAUAUGGUAUCAGGAAUGUAUGUAUGAAUGAAGCAAGGAUGAGGAACUCGUGACAACUUCCUUUGGCACCACAAUCUGCAAUUGGCUGCUGUUGAUGUGCUUUCAUUUGGUUAUCUCUACUCUGACUAUGCACUCUUCAUGUUUCUUUGUAUAUUUUGAGGAUAUAGUUUUCUUUGAUUCCAAGGACUUGUUUGUGCUUUGGUGUUACAGAGGAGAGAGCUGUGAAUGUACUGUUGGAUUUGAAAGUUUUGAGCCUUUGGAUUCAACGGGUUACUUUUUCCUUGAGUGUUUGUUCUGGAAUAGGUGUCCUAUUAUGAUGCGGCAGUGCUGGUAUUUAUUUAUGUUUAGAAUUAUGAAUCUAAGCAUUAGCAGUGCAUCUAUUUUCUUGUAUAAUCAAGAUAUAAGUUUGUUUUGCAGUGACUUGAACGUUUGUAGAUAUUUUGAUACAUUUCGUAUUGAUGAUAAUCGAUAAGAAUGAUAAUGGCUACAGAUACAUAGAUCAAGUUUCUUCAAUGAAGUCGUUCUUUAUUAUUUUUAUUUUUGCGCUUCCAUUGUAAGAUACAAAUUGAAUUGUGAACUUGUUUUUCUGCAGUGUGGUUUUUCAAAAUAAUGAUGUUCAUUCAUCAUAGCAUGGGAGCCUCAAGUUUUGGUUUGCCUAUUUCUUUUUAAAACAUAUUUUUUCGAUACUUUAUUCCCUUUGGUGAUGCAGGGACGAUAAUAAUUUUCUUUCUCUUGUUUGAUCUUCCGGUUUUGUAUUCUGAUUAUUUUCUCUGGUAUUUUGAUUGUGAGGUUUGAUUUGAUUCUGGCUUUAAUGCAUGUUAUUUUCUGCGGUGCAGUGUGUUUUGAAACAAUAACAUUUUAUUAGCAUCAAGCCUCAGGUUUUAUUCUGGUCUAUUCUGAUCUUGAUUUCAGGGAUCGCUGUUCUCGUUUUCUAUGAUCCGUCGCUGUAAACGCAUUGAUAUGGUUUUUUCAGAUAGUGGAUAUCAAGAAUUUCACACUAUCACACACCUCUAUUCACUCUUUUACGCAUCAUCGGUUAUUUCAAUAAUUUUGGAUACAAUUCUUCAUUUGAUAAUGAGACGUGCAUUUAUCCGUUUUGCUUUUACAGUGAGCUGAAAAGUUUUGGUGUCUAUGUAGAGCGACUUGAUGCAAUAGACAAGAUUGGAGAACGGUCCCGGAUAGAUAAAUCAAAUUUUUUCAAUGAAUAUCUUUUUACUAUUUUUUAGAAUUUGAUUUUAAGCAAAUUGAAUUAAGACCAUAUUUUUAUGCAGCGUGAUUUGUCAAAGAUGGAGCCCAGAAUUUUGAUUUGGUGAUAGCAUGUUUUUCUGCAGCAUGGUUUGUCAAAAUAUUAACCUUCUUCAUAGUAUGGUUUGUGUAUACAAUAUGAACAAUAUGAAUUCAUAGAGGAGAAGACAAAAAGAUAUUCUAAGACAACGAAUGCUAAUCACUAUUUAAAUAGAUGCAAUCAUGAAGAAAAAAAUAAAUAAUAAGUAAUAUAAAAUCUAAUCUUUAAAGAUAUUCUAAGAUUCUAAGAUACUUUAAUAUAAUAUCAAGAUACUAAAGAAUUUUUGGAUAUUUUAACGGUUUGAUCUUAUGUUAUGUAAUCUUUUGAUGUUAUUUGGUUGUUGGUUUUAUCAAGAUACAGUAGUAUGUUUUGAAACAAUGAACUUCUAUUAUGAAGCAAUCAGGUUUAAUUUCGUACACACUCUUGGAUUGUGAAUUAUGUUGGUAUUGAAAAGUUCAGUUGUAGGGUUUCCUUAUGCCAUCAAUACAUUUAAGUUUUUGACUUGUAUAAUCUGACAGUGUGAAAGUUGCAAAAUUCUGGAUAAAUUGGGAGUGAACAGCUUUGUGGAGCUCUCUUCCUAACUACGAUCUUCUGAUCAGGGACUUGGUUUGGAGAAUUAUGCUUGUCUUUAUUUAUUCAUAGCUUUUUCUACAACUAUUUGUCACAUCGUGAUUUUAUUAUUCUUUGAUCGUGUUCAAGAUGGUGUUGAUUGUGCAUCCAGAACCUUUGUACUACUCUAGCAUAGAUUACAACAUUUUGGAAUGACUCUUUGGCCUUCCCAAGAUGACGAAUUUUGGACAACUGGAUAUAAAUUUGAUUCUGAUCAUGAUUUGUUUGUUGGUGAACUUUGUUGGGGGAGGUUUUCUAAAUCUUCAUUACUGUUUUGUCAUUUUUAUUGUGAUUUAUGAUUUAUGAUGAUGAUGAUACUCCUAAAAAGAUACCCUAUUCAUUAUAGUGGCCAAAGGACUCUUCUGUAUUUGGAGAAGCCAAAAUCAUGUCAUUUCAUAUGGGUAUAUGAUCUUGCAAAUUGGAUGGAAAUUUGGUCAACUCUUAUAAGACUCUUCUUUACAUUUCAGUGUUAUUUUUUAUACUCAACACAUAAAAGGUCGGUUCCUUUGAGUUUUCUUUGUUGUUGUUAUAGGGGAGAGAGCCUAUAAAUGUGUGGUUCACUGUGGAACCCAUGGCAGGCAGAGGUUGACAUACUUACUCUUCAGCUUGGGAUUUUGGAUAGUGUCAGUUUUUGUGUAUAUGGUAUCAGGAAUGUAUGUAUGAAUGAAGCAAGGACGAGGAACUCGUGACAACUUGCUUUGGCACCAGAAUCUGCAAUUGUCUGCUGUUGAUGUGCUUUCAUUUGGUUAUCUCUACUCUGACUAUGCACUCUUCAUCUUUCUUUGUAUAUUUUGAGGAUAUAGUUUUCUUUGAUUCCAAGGACUUGUUUGUGCAUUGGUGUUACAGAGGAGAGAGCUGUGAAUGUACUGUUGGAUUUGAAAGUUUUGAGCCUUUGGAUUCAAUGGGUUACUUUUUUCCUUGAGUGUUUGUUCUGGAAUAGGUGUCCUAGUAUGAUGCGGCAGUGCUGGUAUUUAUUUAUGUUUAGAAUUAUGAAUUUAAGUAUUAGCAGUGCAUCUCUUUUCUUGUAUAAUCAAGAUAUAAGUUUGUUUUGCAGUGACUUGAACGUUUGUAGAUAUUUUGAUACAUUUCGUAUUGAGCGGAUCGAUUUUGAUUUCUAGAUAUCUGGAACAAUUUGCAAUUAUUGAUGAUAAUCGAUAAGAAUGAUAAUGGCUACAGAUACAUAGAUCAAGUUUCUUCAAUGAAGUCAUUCUUUAUUUUUAUUUUUGCGCUUUCAUUGUAAGAUACAAAUUGAAUUGUGAACUUGUUU